rnacentral:rRNA from 1 species
CACGUAGGGUGCGAGCGUUGUCCGGAAUUAUUGGGCGUAAAGAGCUCGUAGGCGGUGUGUCGCGUCGGCCGUGAAAACCUGCAGCUUAACUGUGGGCUUGCGGUCGAUACGGGCAUCACUGGAGUUCGGCAGGGGAGACUGGAAUUCCUGGUGUAGCGGUGAAAUGCGCAGAUAUCAGGAGGAACACCAGCGGCGAAGGCGGCGCUCUGGGCCGGUACUGACACUGAGGAGCGAAAGCGUGGGGAGCAAACAGG